rnacentral:lncRNA from 1 species
ACCAGAAGCCGAAGGCGGAACCGUAUCAGAAACGUUGUUCGGCUUGUAUGAUUUGGGCUAGUCGGAAGGGUAUUACCAAGGACUUUUGGUGUAAGCAUAUGAAACAUAAUCUUAGGUAUUUCAGGUAAUUUUUUAAUGGAUUUGAAUCGAAAAAAAAAAAAAAAUUGUAUAUAAUAAAGAAAGGAUGUCAAUUACCAAAGUCUCAGACUUCACCAAAGACUCGUUCGCUUUCGAAGAUGCCGUCGGAAACAGAUACGGGUCCAAGAAGAUUAAAUUAAC